AUACGUAGGGGGCGAGCGUUGUCCGGAAUGAUUGGGCGUAAAGGGCGCGUAGGCGGCGCGGUAAGUCUGGAGUGAAAGUCCUGCUUUCAAGGUGGGAAUUGCUUUGGAUACUGCCGCGCUUGAGUGCAGGAGAGGUUAUCGGAAUUCCCGGUGUAGCGGUGAACUGCGUAGAGAUCGGGAGGAACACCAGUGGCGAAGGCGGGUAACUGGACUGCAACUGACGCUGAGGCGCGAAAGUGUGGGGAGCAAACAGGAUUAGAUACCCUGGUAGUCCACACUGUAAACGAUGAAUGCUAGGUGUAAGAGGUAUCGACCCCUUUUGUGCCGGAGUUAACACAAUAAGCAUUCCGCCUGGGGAGUACGGCCGCAAGGUUGAAACUCAAAGGAAUUGACGGGG
rnacentral:rRNA from 1 species